UGGUUGCAUUAACAAGGUACUUUGGGAGAAAUUGGAGAGAGAAUUUUUAUCUUCAAAGACGUUGGACGGCACUUAGGAGACAGACUGGACAGCUCUGCUUUUACUCCUCUAACCCUAGUCACAAUUAUGUCAAAUGUUUCUCGAUGGGACCAUGUUUCUUUUCCUCUGCUCUCAGGCUUACCCUCAACUUGUCCAGAAGGGAUCUGAAGCUGCACUUCUGAGACUCAAACAAGCACGUGAUCUGUCUGCAAAGCAAGUACCUGGCCUUCCUCAGAACCAUCACCAUUUUCUAAUGCUGGCUUCUCCAACUCAAAGCCCAUGCAGAGCUCUCAUGAUUAUUCUGUUUACCUGCUGGGAUUCUCGCCUCCCACUAGAUUCCAGUCCCUCCUCGGUGGUGGUGCCUUCUCUUUCAUCAGCUUCUGCCUGAAUCAACUACACCACAGAUUCAUCGAGCUCCUUCUUUCCAGUCUCACGUGUCUUCACUCCGUGUUUCUAACAGGCUCCUCCCUUUUCGCAUUGAGGAAGGACGGAUCCUGUGAGAAGGAACCUGCUUCUCUUGCCUUUGUGAACAUCAAAGCCUUACACAGAAAAUACUCAAGAAAUAACCCCUGAUCAGUCACUUCAAGAUGACACCAUGACUGAAGCUAGCAGGCUUUCCAUAGGAGACAGAUUUGGUGUUUUUCUUUGCUGGCUCCAUUAGAGGACAUGUGA
rnacentral:lncRNA from 1 species